GAUGAACGCUAGCGGCAGGCCUAAUACAUGCAAGUCGAACGAGAUUACGAGGCUUGCUUCUUAUGAAAGUGGCGCACGGGUGCGUAACGCGUAUGCAACCUACCUUAAUCAGGGGGAUAGCCCGAAGAAAUUCGGAUUAAGACCGCAUAAAAACACAGGAUAGCAUUAUCCAAUGUUCAAAUAUUUAUAGGAUUAAGAUGGGCAUGCGUGUCAAUAGCUAGUUGGCGGGGUAACGGCCCACCAAGGCGACGAUGACUAGGGGAUCUGAGAGGAUGACCCCCCACACUGGUACUGAGACACGGACCAGACUCCUACGGGAGGCAGCAGUAAGGAAUAUUGGUCAAUGGAGGGAACUCUGAACCAGCCAUGCCGCGUGCAGGAAGACAGCCCUCUGGGUCGUAAACUGCUUUUAUUCGGGAAUAAACCUUUCUACGUGUAGGAAGCUGAAUGUACCGAAGGAAUAAGGAUCGGCUAACUCCGUG
rnacentral:rRNA from 1 species